rnacentral:misc_RNA from 1 species
UACGUAGGGUGCAAGCGUUGUUCGGAAUUAUUGGGCGUAAAGAGCGUGUAGGCGGCCAUCUAAGUCUGGUGUGAAAGCCCGGGGCUUAACUCCGGAAGUGCACUGGAUACUGGAUGGCUAGAGGGUGAGAGAGGGAAGUGGAAUUCCUGGUGUAGGGGUGAAAUCCGUAGAUAUCAGGAGGAACAUCGGAGGCGAAGGCGGCUUCCUGGCUCAUUUCUGACGCUGAGACGCGAAAGCGUGGGGAGCAAACAGG